rnacentral:rRNA from 1 species
GACGAACGCUGGCGGCGUGCUUAACACAUGCAAGUCGAACGGAAAGGCCCUGCUUUUGUGGGGUGCUCGAGUGGCGAACGGGUGAGUAACACGUGAGUAACCUGACCUUGACUUUGGGAUAACUUCAGGAAACUGGGGCUAAUACCGUAUAGGAUCUCCUGCUGCAUGGUGGGGGUGGGAAAGUUUCGGCGGUUGGGGAUGGACGCGCGGCUUAUCAGCUUGUUGGUGGGGUAGUGGAUUACCCAGGCUUUGGAGGGUCGCCGGCCUGAGAGGGUGAACGGGCACCUGGGGCCUGAGAUACGGCCCAGAGUCCUACAGGAGGCAGCAGUGGGGAAUAUUGCACAAUGGGCGGAAGCCUGAUGCAGCAACGCCGCGGGCGGGAUGACGGCUUUCGGGUUGUAAACCGCUUCCGCCUGUGACGAAGCGUGAGUGACGGUAAUGGGUAAAGAAGCACCGGCUAACUACGUG